rnacentral:rRNA from 1 species
GUUACUUUGAGUAAAUUAGAGUGUUCAAAGCAAACAGAUAUAGCAUUGCGCGUUUGAAUACUACAGCAUGGAAUAACAAAAUUGAACAAGUCAGAAUUUUGUUCUUUUUUCUUAUUUUGGCUUAGUUACGAUUAAUAGGAGUAGCUUGGGGGCAUUUGUAUUCAGAUGUCAGAGGUGAAAUUCUUAGAUUUUCUGGAGACAAACAACUGCGAAAGCAUUUGCCUAAAAUACUUCCAUUAAUCAAGAACGAAAGUUAAGGGAGUGAAGACGAUCAGAUACCGUCGUAAUCUUAACCAUAAACUAUGCCGACUAGGCUUUGGAUGAAAGAUUUUAAAAUAAGUGAUUUUCUCUUCGGAGUUAAUCUCUUAGAUUGCUUCCUUCAGUGCCUUAUGAGAAAUCAAAGUCUUUGGGUUCUGGGGCGAGUAUUCGCGCAAGCGAGAAAGUUAAAAGAAUUGACGGAAGGGCACCACCAGGCGUGGAGCUUGCGGCUUAAUUUGACUCAACACGGGAAAACUCACUAGUUUAAGACAAGAGUAGGAUUGACAGAUUAAUAGCUCUUUCUUGAUUUCUUGGAUGGUGAUGCAUGGCCGUUUUUAGUUCGUGAAUAUGAUUUGUCUGGUUAAUUCCGAUAACGAACGAGAUCUUAACCUGCUAAUUAGCGGCAAAUACGAUAUAUUCUUAUGUGGGACUGAAUACGGUUGAUUUGCUUAUUUUGAAGAAAAUAUUGGGAUGCG